rnacentral:rRNA from 1 species
AUUGAACGCUGGCGGCAGGCCUAACACAUGCAAGUCGAACGAGUGGCGGACGGGUGAGUAGUGUCUGGGAAACUGGCUGAUGGAGGGGGAUAAGUACUGGAAACGGUAGCUAAUACCGCAUAACAUCAUAUCUGCCCAGAGGGGAUGAGCUUGUCGGUGGGGUAACGGCUCACCAAGGCGACGAUCCCUAGCUGGUCUGAGAGGAUGACCAGCCACACUGGAGCUGAGACACGGUCCAGACUCCUACGGGAGGCAGCAGUGGGGAAUAUUGGACAAUGGGCGCAAGCCUGAUGCAGCCAUGCCGCGUGUAUGAAGAAGGCCUUCGGGUUGUAAAGUACUUUCAGCGGGGAGGCGUUACCCGCAGAAGAAGCACCGGCUAACUCCGUGCCAGCAGCCGCGGUAAUAC